CGUGUAGGCGGCCUCUUAAGUCUGAUGUGAAAGCCCGGGGCUUACCCCCGGAAGAGCAUUGGAAACUGGGAAGCUAGAGUACCGGAGAGGAAGGUGGAAUUCCUGGUGUAGCGGUGAAAUGCGUAGAUAUCAGGAGGAACACCGGUGGCGAAGGCGGCCUUCUGGACGGAUACUGACGCUGAGACGCGAAAGCGUGGGGAGCAAACAGGAUUAGAUACCCUGGUAGUCCACGCCGUAAACGAUGGGCACUAGGUGUUCGGGGUAUUGACCCCCUGAGUGCCGCAGCUAACGCAUUAAGUGCCCCGCCUGGGGACUACGGCCGCAAGGUUAAA
rnacentral:rRNA from 1 species